UCCUACCAUGCAGUCGACGAACCCUUCGGGGUGAGUGGCGCACGGGUGCGUAACGCGUGGGAACCUGCCUUUAGGUUCGGAAUAACUCAGAGAAAUUUGAGCUAAUACCGGAUAAUGUCUUCGGACCAAAGAUUUAUCGCCUUUAGAUGGGCCCGCGUUAGAUUAGAUAGUUGGUGGGGUAAUGGCCUACCAAGUCGACGAUCUAUAGCUGGUCUGAGAGGAUGAUCAGCCACACUGGGACUGAGACACGGCCCAGACUCCUACGGGAGGCAGCAGUGGGGAAUAUUGGACAAUGGGGGAAACCCUGAUCCAGCAAUGCCGCGUGAGUGAUGAAGGCCUUAGGGUUGUAAAGCUCUUUUACCAGGGAUGAUAAUGACAGUACCUGGAGAAUAAGCUCCGGCUAACUCCGUGCCAGCCGCCGGGGGUAAUACA
rnacentral:rRNA from 1 species